rnacentral:SRP_RNA from 2 species
GCCGGGCGUGGUGACGCGCGCCCGUAAUCCCAGCUACUUGGGAGGCUGAGGCAGGAGAAUUGCUUGAACCCUGGAGGCAGAGGUUGCAGUGAGCCAAGAUUACGCCACUGCACUCCAGCCUGGUUGACAGAGUGAGACUCUGUCUCAA